AGAGUUUGAUCCUGGCUCAGGAUGAACGCUGGCGGUAUGCUUAACACAUGCAAGUCGAACGAAUCCCUUCGGGGAUUAGUGGCGGACGGGUGAGUAACGCGUGAGAAUUUACCAAAAGGACUGGGACAACCACUGGAAACGGUGGCUAAUACCGGAUGAACCGAAAAGUAAAAAGGGAAACCUGCCUUUUGAAGAGCUCGCGUCUGAUUAGCUAGUUGGUGAGGUAAGAGCUCACCAAGGCAGCGAUCAGUAGCUGGUCUGAGAGGAUGACCAGCCACACUGGGACUGAGACACGGCCCAGACUCCUACGGGAGGCAGCAGUGGGGAAUUUUCCGCAAUGGGCGAAAGCCUGACGGAGCAAUACCGCGUGAGGGAAGAAGGCUCUUGGGUCGUAAACCUCUUUUAUCAGGGAAGAAAAAAAUGACGGUACCUGAAGAAUCAGCCUCGGCUAACUCCGUGCCAGCAGCCGCGGUAAUACGGAGGAGGCAAGCGUUAUCCGGAAUUAUUGGGCGUAAAGCGUCCGCAGGUGGCUUAUCAAGUCUGCUGUCAAAGAGUGGGGCUUAACCCCAUUAAGGCAGUGGAAACUGAGAAGCUAGAGUGCCGUAGGGGUAGAGGGAAUUCCCGGUGUAGCGGUGAAAUGCGUAGAGAUCGGGAAGAACAUCGGUGGCGAAAGCGCUCUACUGGACGGCAACUGACACUCAGGGACGAAAGCUAGGGGAGCGAAUGGGAUUAGAUACCCUAGUAGUCC
rnacentral:rRNA from 1 species